rnacentral:rRNA from 1 species
GACGAACGCUGGCGGCGUGCUUAACACAUGCAAGUCGAACGAAGUGGCGAACGGGUGAGUAACGCGUAAUCAACCUGCCCUUCAGAGGGGGACAACAGUUGGAAACGAAUGCUAAUACCGCAUACUGAAGGGGGGGAUUGCGUGUGAUUAGCUCGUUGGAGGGGUAACGGCCCACCAAGGCGAUGAUCAGUCGCCGGUCUGGGAGGGUGAACUGCCACAUUGGGACUGGUACACGGGCCAGACUCCUACGGGAGGCAGCAGUGGGGAAUCGUCCGCAAUGGAGGAAAGUCUGGCGGAGCAACGCCGCGUGAGUGAUGACAGCCUUCGGGUUGUAAAGCUCUGUUAAUCGGGACGCGUUACCGGAAUAGGAAGCCACGGCUAACUACGUGCCAGCAGCCGCGGUAAUUC